rnacentral:rRNA from 1 species
UACGGGGGGGGGCAAGCGUUGUUCGGAAUUACUGGGCGUAAAGCGCACGUAGGCGGCUUUGUAAGUUAGAGGUGAAAGCCCGGGGCUCAACUCCGGAACUGCCUUUAAGACUGCAUCGCUUGAAUCCAGGAGAGGUGAGUGGAAUUCCGAGUGUAGAGGUGAAAUUCGUAGAUAUUCGGAAGAACACCAGUGGCGAAGGCGACUCGCUGGACAGGUAUUGACGCUGAGGUGCGAAAGCGUGGGGAGCAAACAGG